UGGGAAGUGACUCGCCGUGAUUAUUCAUUCGGAAGAAGUUUUGUUGGACCAAUGAUCGCAUCCCCAAUCCCGUCUCCAUCCGACUGCGCUUGGCAAUAGGGCUGAAGCGAAGAUCCCGCUCGAGAGGCAAGGGGGAGAGGCAGGAGAAAGGCGCCGCACGCGAGACAAAGGAACUGGGACGUGGGUGCCGCGGUGGAGCGCUUUUAUUCUCUCGUUCCUCAUGAAUUGCGCAGCGCAAAGCAGCCUUUCCUUCGUAGGCUUUGCUGCAGGAGUCUCGUUGCGGUUUGCUGUAAGGAAAGCAUCGGGCAAGGCAGAUGAUGAUGUGUAACUGAGUACAUCCUUCUUAGGACACUACCACGCUGUACUUUUCUUCUGCCUCUACCGGGGCAACAAAUACUUCUUUGCUUCUGAUCUCUGUGGCAUUUGUUCUGCUUUUGUGUUGUACACAUUUACAGGAAAGUCUGUAAAUGUGUAGCAUUUGGCUGACUUGCUGUUUGCCUUUGGGGACAAUUCUUCUUGGGAUUUCCGAACCGGCUGGAGGAAGCCAGCUAAGCCCUGAGAACAGUUUAAUAUGGGGACCUGGUCUGAGAGCAGAUGUUGUCCUUCCUGCGCGGUAUUUUUAUGUCCAGGCAGUAGACACUGAAGGGAAGAGGUUUACUGUUUCGCCAGGUGAAAAUGCAUUUCAAGUAAAGAUCACAGCUCCUGAGGAGCAGUUUACCCGGGUAGGGGUGCAGAUACUGGACAGAAAAGAUGGUUCCUUCAUUGUGAGGUACAGAAUGUACGCAAGCUACAGAAACCUGAAGAUUGAGGUUCAGACCAAAGACAAACACAUUGCCAAAUCACCGUAUACUUUAAAAGGACCUGUCUAUCAUGAGAACUGUGAUUGCCCUCAGGAAGAUGGCAGUGCUUGGCUGGAAGAGAUGAGUUGCCCUCAAGCCAUUCUGCAAAUUCAAAGAGAUCUGACACAGUUUCCUACAGUGGAUCCUGAUAAAAUUGCCAAAGAAAUUCCACAACGGUUUGGACAGAGACAGAGCUUGUGCCAUUACACCAUAAAAGACAACAAGGUUUAUAUAAAGACCUAUGGAGAGCAUGUAGGGUUUAGAAUUUUCAUGGAUGCCAUUCUACUUUCUUUGAGUAGAAAAGUGAAAAUGCCAGAUGUAGAAUUUUUUGUCAAUUUGGGAGACUGGCCUUUGGAAAAAAAGAAAUCCUCUCAAGACAUUCAUCCUAUAUUUUCGUGGUGUGGAUCCACUGAUUCAAAAGAUAUUGUAAUGCCAACCUAUGACCUGACAGACUCUGUUUUAGAAACAAUGGGCCGAGUAAGUCUAGAUAUGAUGUCUGUUCAAGCAAACACUGGGCCACCAUGGGAAGCAAAGAACACCACAGCAAUAUGGAGGGGCCGAGACAGUCGUAAAGAGAGGCUUGAACUUGUGAAGACGAGUAGAAAACACCCUGAAAUCAUUGACGCAGCAUUUACAAACUUCUUCUUUUUCAAGCAUGAUGAAAGUCUCUAUGGUCCCAUUGUGAAGCAUAUUUCCUUUUUUGAUUUCUUCAAGUAUAAAUACCAAAUUAAUAUUGAUGGCACAGUGGCUGCAUAUAGACUGCCUUAUCUGCUAGCAGGAAACAGCGUUGUGCUCAAGCAGGACUCCAUCUAUUAUGAGCAUUUUUAUAACGAGCUCCAACCUUGGAAACACUACAUUCCAUUUAAAAGUGACCUGAGUGAUCUCUUGGAGAAACUACAGUGGGCAAAGGAGCAUGAUGAGGAGGUACCAUUAAUAGUUAGUUGCCACAGGCAAAGAAUAUUGCAAAAGCAGGGCAAGAAUUUGCAAGGAACAACCUCAUGGGAGACCAUAUAUUCUGUUAUUACUUCAAACUUUUCCAGGAAUAUGCCAAACGACAAGUGAAUGAGCCAGAAGUUAGAGAUGGCAUGGAAAAAGUGGAACAGCCUGAUGAUGACCUUUUCCCCUGCAGCUGCCAUAGAAAAAAGGUCAAAGAGGAACUUUAACAAGAAGGGAAACUGCUGUUUGCAAUAUUAGCCUAUCUUGGGAUUUCCACAUUUCAAUUUAAAAAAAAAUACUAGGUGUGAAAUCGUCUGAAUGAAUUCUGUUCUGCAGUAUUACUAUAAUUUUGUUUUUAUAAUAUUUUUUUAAAAAUAAAUAUUCUUUCCAUAAAGGC